rnacentral:tRNA from 1 species
GGGGCGCUAGAACGAUGAGUGGCGCGGUUGACGCUUAAUCAAUGAGGCACAGGUUCGAACCCUGUACGACCCACCA